AUUUGAGAGGAGCUGUCCUUAGUACGAGAGGACCGGGAUGGACGCACCGCUGGUGUACCAGUUGUUCUGCCAAGGGCAUCGCUGGGUAGCUAUGUGCGGACGGGAUAAGUGCUGAAAGCAUCUAAGCAUGAAGCCCCCCUCAAGAUGAGAUUUCCCAUUCCGCAAGGAAGUAAGAUCCCUGAAAGAUGAUCAGGUUGAUAGGUCUGAGGUGGAAGUGUGGCGACACAUGGAGCUGACAGAUACUAAUCGAUCGAGGACUUAACCUAAA
rnacentral:rRNA from 1 species